GAUGAACGCUGGCGGCGUGCUUAACACAUGCAAGUCGAGCGAAAGGACGAGAAUCUUGCUUCUCUGAUGUUAGCGGCGGGCGGGAGAGUAACAUGUGGAUCACCUACCUAUAAGACUGGGAUAACUUCGGGAAACCGGAGCUAAUACCGGAUAAUAUUUUGAACCGCAUGGUUCAAAAGUGACAGCCGGUCUUGCUGUAACUUAUAGAUGGAUCCGCGCUGCAUUGGCUAGUUGGUAAGGUAACAGCUUACCAAGGCAACGAUGCAUAGCCGACCUGAGAGGGGGAUGGCCCACAGUGGAGCGGAGACACCACCCUGAGUCCUAGGGGAGGCAGCGGCAGGGAAUGGGCGGCAAUGGGCGAAAGCUUGACGGAGCAGCGGCACGCGAGUGAUGAAGGGCCGCGGAUCGUAAAACUGUGUUAUUGGUGAAGAACGUAUGUGUAAGUGACUGUGCACAUCGUGACGGUACCUAAUCAGGAAGCCACGGCUAACUACGUG
rnacentral:rRNA from 1 species